rnacentral:rRNA from 1 species
AAGGGCCGCGGUAUUUCUGACCGUGCGAAGGUAGCAUAAUCAAUAGUCUUUUAAUUGGAGGCUUGUAUGAACGGUUGGACGAAAAACAUACUGUUUCGGACAAAAUACUUGAAUUUAACUUUUAAGUGAAAAGGCUUAAAUGAAUUAAAAAGACGAUAAGACCCUAUAAAUCUUGACACUUUUCUUUGUGUUUUACUGAUUUGUUGUGUGUGAAAGGUGAGCAUGAAGGGUGUGUUGUGUUGGGGCAACAAUAAUACAGUAAUUUUAGUUAUUAGAACGAUUAAACAGUGGUGGUUGAAUGAAAUAAAUUGAUCCUUGUUAAAGAUUAGGAGAUUAAGUUACUUUAGGGAUAACAGCGUUAUUUUUUCUGAGAGUUCUUAUCGAAGAAAGAGAUUGCGACCUCGAUGUUGAAUUAAAAAAUCUUUUUAGUGCAGCCGCU